rnacentral:tRNA from 1 species
UCCCUGAUAGCUCAGUAGGUAAAGAAUCUGCCUGUAAUGCAGAAUACCCCAGUUUGAUUCCUGAGUCAGGAAA